GAUGAACGCUAGCGGCAGGCUUAAUACAUGCAAGUCGAGGGGCAGCAUGAUUGUAGCAAUACAAUUGAUGGCGACCGGCAAACGGGUGCGGAACACGUACACAACCUUCCAACAAGUGGGGGAUUGCACAGAGAAAUUUGGAUUAAUACCCCGUAACAUAGCGAUGUGGCAUCACAUUGCUAUUAUAGAUUUUUCGCUUGUUGAUGGGUGUGCGGCUGAUUAGAUAGUUGGCGGGGUAACGUCCCACCAAGUCUGCGAUCGGUAGCGGAUGUGAGAGCAUGAUCAGCCACACGGGCACUGAGACACGGCCCAGACUCCUACGGGAGGCAGCAGUGGGGAAUUUUGGACAAUGGGGGCAACCCUGAUCCAGCCAUGCCGCGUGAGUGAAGAAGGCCUUCGGGUUGUAAAGCUCUUUCAGCCGGGAAGAAAUCGCACAGGCUAAUAUCCUGUGUGGAUGACGGUACCGGAAUAAGAAGCACCGGCUAACUACGUGCCAGCAGCCGCGGUAAGAC
rnacentral:rRNA from 1 species